AAGAGCCUCAGCUAAAAAAUCAACUAGCUCCCCUAAGACUUUAUCAAGGAUGGAAUGAUAUAGGAAUAAAAUAUAAUUAAGGUGUGAAACUAGUGCUCUCUUAUGCUAGCAACAUUAGAUACGAUGCCCUCAAAUAGUCUCCUACUCAUUUCUCCCCAAAUCAUCCAAAAUUUCGCAUGGGGAGUAAGGGCUAAAAGCUUCUUCUCAACCAAAUUAAAC
rnacentral:lncRNA from 1 species